GAGAGUUUGAUCCUGGCUCAGGACGAACGCUGGCGGCGUGCUUAACACAUGCAAGUCGAACGGAAAGGCCCUUCGGGGUACUCGAGUGGCGAACGGGUGAGUAACACGUGGGUGAUCUGCCCUGCACUUUGGGAUAAGCCUGGGAAACUGGGUCUAAUACCGAAUAUGACCAUGCACUUCCUGGUGUGUGGUGGAAAGCUUUUGCGGUGUGGGAUGGGCCCGCGGCCUAUCAGCUUGUUGGUGGGGUAAUGGCCUACCAAGGCGACGACGGGUAGCCGGCCUGAGAGGGUGACCGGCCACACUGGGACUGAGAUACGGCCCAGACUCCUACGGGAGGCAGCAGUGGGGAAUAUUGCACAAUGGGCGCAAGCCUGAUGCAGCGACGCCGCGUGAGGGAUGACGGCCUUCGGGUUGUAAACCUCUUUCAGCACAGACGAAGCGCAAGUGACGGUAUGUGCAGAAGAAGGACCGGCCAACUACGUGCCAGCAGCCGCGGUAAUACGUAGGGUCCGAGCGUUGUCCGGAAUUACUGGGCGUAAAGAGCUCGUAGGUGGUUUGUCGCGUUGUUCGUGAAAACUCACAGCUUAACUGUGGGCGUGCGGGCGAUACGGGCAGACUUGAGUACUGCAGGGGAGACUGGAAUUCCUGGUGUAGCGGUGGAAUGCGCAGAUAUCAGGAGGAACACCGGUGGCGAAGGCGGGUCUCUGGGCAGUAACUGACGCUGAGGAGCGAAAGCGUGGGGAGCGAACAGGAUUAGAUACCCUGGUAGUCCACGCCGUAAACGGUGGGUACUAGGUGUGGGUUUCCUUCCUUGGGAUCCGUGCCGUAGCUAACGCAUUAAGUACCCCGCCUGGGGAGUACGGCCGCAAGGCUAAAACUCAAAGAAAUUGACGGGGGCCCGCACAAGCGGCGGAGCAUGUGGAUUAAUUCGAUGCAACGCGAAGAACCUUACCUGGGUUUGACAUGCACAGGACGCUGGUAGAGAUAUCAGUUCCCUUGUGGCCUGUGUGCA
rnacentral:rRNA from 1 species